rnacentral:rRNA from 1 species
AUGCUUCCUCCGGCUCAGCAUGCAUGCUUGUUUCAUUUGAUUCAGGUGUGUGUUCUCCACCCGCAGCAACCGAUGUUUUUUCAGUUUUCAUUAGUCUCUAUCUUCGGAAGUAGUUUCGCAUGUACCUCUUCUCUAAAGGAAUGGAAAGUCGCAUACUGUCAAAGCGUUCCCUUUUCAGUCAAGUAUUUUGACUUAUAUCACUCAGCGGACAAUGCAUGGUUCCUUCAUGUUUGUAUUAUUUCUGUAUCUCAGUUUGUUUUUGAUUUAUCCCCUGCACAGGAUGAAGUGCCAAGUGUGUUUCUCCUACUGGCAAGACACGGAUGCGAACAGCACAUCGUUUCUUCACUUUUAGGUUUUCUGUAUUUCAUGGUUAGGUUCAGUGUUAUUUUCAGUCUUAUUCAGAUUUCAGUCUUUCUGUAG